rnacentral:rRNA from 1 species
AUCCUCGGUAAUGGCACUUCCUGUCGCUUCUGGACUGAUAAGUGGAUGCAAGGCCGCUCCAUCCAGGAGCUUGCCCCGAGCCUGGUGGCCUUGGUGCCGAUCCGAUCGCGCCGAUCUCGCACGGUCGCGGCCGCCCUCCAUGAUCGCACCUGGAUCAAAGACAUCCAUGGCUUCCCAGGCCUAGAGGCCAUGCUCCAGUAUGUUGAUCUAUGGCGCAGACUCCAGUCUCUCGUUCUUACCACGGAGCCUGACACCAUCCGCUGGAACUGGACGGAGCAUGGCGAAUACUCUGCUGCCUCCUGCUACAAUGCUCUUUUUACUCGUUCCACGGCGUCCGAACACUGGCGCAUUGUUUGGAAAACUGGCGCCCCCCUCUCGGUCAAGUUCUUCACCUACCUUGCAUCCGUCAAUCGCUGCUGGACGGUUGACCGACUCUCUCGCCGCGGGCUUCCGCACGAACCGGCAUGUGUGUUGUGCUCUCAGCAGGCCGAGACCCUGCAGCAUAUCCUUGUUGAGUGUGUCUUUGCUCGCACCGUCUGGCAGGGCAUCCUCUCCUAG